rnacentral:lncRNA from 1 species
UGACUUGUGGAUAUUGACUUACUUUCCUUACACACCAAGAAUUCUUAUUAUAAUUGUAAUUGAUUUGCUUUAAUUCCUGAGUUCAUAAUGUAAAUAGAUUUAGGAAUUUAUUAUUUACUUGCCCAUUCAGGUUUCGUUGUAUUAUAAAUAUGACCUCCUACAAGGAGAAAAAUACACAGAAAAUUCCCACAAAUAAAUAUUCUCUCAUAGUUUUCAUAUUUUAGCAUAAAACACUUCAUUGGAACACCUAGUAACACCACAACUAGGAUUCAUGACCAGC